UGCUGUCAUUUUGUAUUAUGUUCAUAAUGUUUUUCAUUUCUCAUCUUUUUUUGCUAAGAAAUUCUAAUUACCUAUGUGAUUUGUUUUAUGACUUUGCAGCAUUGUUCUUUUACAUGGAACUCCAGGGACUAGAAAAACCGCUUUAUGUAAAGCAUUAGCUCAAAAACUAUCCAUCUGAUUUAACUCCAGAUACCUACAGUCCCAAUUGCUUCAAAUUAAUGCACAUUCUCUAUUCAGCAAAUGAUACUCUGAAAAUGGCAAGCUGAUGAAGUUGAAAGUCUCGAUGCUGUUAAAAAAUUUGCUUGAUCGAGUUUGGAACCUUCAGAUUCUAUUCAGGUACCAUGCUCUCCCCUUUUCCUUUUGCAGGCUAUUUUCUAAGCUUUUUCAUCAGAUGUAAUACAAAAGAUCAAAAUUAACAUUUUGCAUUCAGUUAAGGGUCAAGUUCAUAUAUUCAAGCUUUUCCUAAUUCCCUUCAACCAUGGCAUGUGCCCACAAGCCCUUGACUUGGAGUUACAGGACAG